UAAUAAGUGUUUUAUGGCACUUUUUUAAAAUCCAUAUCCACCUUGGUGUGCAAUGUCAGUCGAUCUUCUUCAUGGAGAUCGACCAAACAUCAACCUUUAUCUUUUAUUAACUCUUUGUCUUAAAAAUAUUAUGAAUAAACAAUUCAAAAUA
rnacentral:misc_RNA from 1 species